rnacentral:rRNA from 1 species
GUGAGGAAUAUUGCGCAAUGGAGGCAACUCUGACGCAGCCAUGCCGCGUGCAGGAAGAAGGCGCUACGCGUUGUAAACUGCUUUUAACCGGGAAGAAACCCCAGGACGUGUCCUGGGUUGACGGUACCGGAGGAAUAAGCACCGGCUAACUUCGUGCCAGCAGCCGCGGUAAUACGAAGGGUGCAAGCGUUAUCCGGAUUCAUUGGGUUUAAAGGGUGCGUAGGCGGAGCGUUAAGUCAGUGGUGAAAUCCUGCAGCUUAACUGUAGACUUGCCAUUGAUACUGGCGCUCUUGAGUGCGCUUGAAGUGGGCGGAAUGUGCCGUGUAGCGGUGAAAUGCUUAGAUAUGGCACAGAACACCAAUUGCGAAGGCAGCUCACUAAGGCGAUACUGGCGCUGAGGCACGAAAGCGUGGGGAUCGAACAGGAUUAGAAACCCGAGUAGUCC